GACGAACGCUGGCGGCGUGCUUAACACAUGCAAGUCGAACGGAAAGGCCCUGCUUUUGUGGGGUGCUCGAGUGGCGAACGGGUGAGUAACACGUGAGUAACCUGCCCUUGACUUUGGGAUAACUUCAGGAAACUGGGGCUAAUACCGGAUAGGAGCUCCUGCUGCAUGGUGGGGGUUGGAAAGUUUCGGCGGUUGGGGAUGGACUCGCGGCUUAUCAGCUUGUUGGUGGGGUAGUGGCUUACCAAGGCUUUGACGGGUAGCCGGCCUGAGAGGGUGACCGGCCACAUUGGGACUGAGAUACGGCCCAGACUCCUAUGGGAGGCAGCAGUGGGGAAUAUUGCACAAUGGGCGGAAGCCGGAUGCAGCAACGCCGCGUGCGGGAUGACGGCCUUCGGGUUGUAAGCCGCUUUCGCCUGUGACGAAGCGUGAGUGACGGUAAUGGGUAAAGAAGCACCGGCUAACUACGU
rnacentral:rRNA from 1 species